GGGUGUGUGGCAGAGUCUGGUUUAUCGCGCUGGUCUUGAAAACCAGAGGGGUCUUCAAAAGCCUCCGUGGGUUCGAAUCCUACCGCACCCGCCA
rnacentral:tRNA from 1 species